UCUCUCUUUCUCGCUCCGCCUCUCCGUGCUACGUCAUGUAAUGUACACUAUAGUGGAUCGAUAUGACAAUGAAAGAGAGACUUGGAGCAAGUCUAGUCCUCUAACGUCCCAACGAAGGGCCUACAGGGCCGUACUGGCUAGGGACGAGAACUUUUUGUGGGCCCCUGCCAUCAUGGGCCCCUGAAAUUAAAACAUUGAAAAAGAUAAAAAAUAUAGAUUCUAAUUUUAUAAAUCAAGAUUAAGAUAUUACAAUUGAUAUUUUAAAAACCUAAAUCCACGAAAAUAUCACCGAAAAAUUUAACAAAGUACGGUACAUUAAUUCGAAAGUUACUGAAAAAUGGUAUAUGUCCGGAAAUUGUUUUGGGGGAAAAAGAUUAAUCGGCGACUGAAAUGUUUCAUGUUUGAUCAAUAAUACCCCCACCCCAAUCUUGAUCUAUCCGUCACUGGGCGUGGCCCCCAUCAGACGUUGCUCAAUCGUCGUCCUUUUCAAGAUCCCAGCAAGUUCCUGGGGCCUUCGCACGAAACGUCGAAGUUCUCCUUGCAUCAGUUUUCAGAUAGUUGCAUUCCUAUGAAUCUGAAGCUUUCUUAUUAUUGGCACCACCUAUACACUGGCACAGACAGUUCAAGAUUAUUUCUUGUAAACACACUCAGGAUGUUAGCUAGCCCAUAUACCACUCUUCCCAAUUGAAGUAGCUAAGGGGCUUUCCCAAUUGGGUCUACUGGAAGAUUUUCAUUUUUUCUGAUGAGAAAGUGCAUUGCGUUUGAUUUUAUAUUAUUAUAUCAAAGAACGUUUCAUUUACUUUUCCCAUUAACUAUUUUCUCAAAAUGCAUCAUCAAAAUGUACAAAACAAAGUGUAAUCGGUGUGCAUCCGUGUUCAUUCACCGGGAAUGAAAUAUACAAAACGAAGUGCCAUCGGGUGUAUUUUUCAGUGUUCAUUCAGCGGAAAUGAAAUGUACAAAUUAGCUACCGUUGUUUGCAUCAAAGGAGAAACACGUUGGAAAAAGCACUAUUUAUUCCUACACAAGGACUUUUAUCGGUCAAAAAAACUUUCCCAAUUUACG